AAGGUCGCGCUUUGUCCUGAGCCGAUUUUGCAGUCUCCGUGAGGGAAAGUCAAGGAUGGAAAAGGACUGUUAGAAUGCUGCAUUGAUGUCUUGUCUGUGCUAGGUUAUGAUUUUUCUUUACUCCUUACAUUUGGCAGCAUGUGACAAGGAUUUUAAGGCGCUUUUUUUCAAUGAAGAAGACCAAGAGACUUCUUCAAGCUCCUAGCUAUGGCCACGGAAAAUAUGGUAGAUGUGAACAUGAAUGUGGUGCUUUUGUGGAAGACAAAAAAACUCUGCCUUAUAAAAUGGCCGUGGCCUUAAUCUCAGAUUUGCCAAUGGAAUAAGGCACACCUUUCAGGUGAACACAGGAAAUGUUCUGAAGGCCAGGAUAAUUUUGGAAGGAAGCACUAAUGUAGAAUUAACUUUGACGACUAAUACAAAAUACCAAAAGCCAUGGUGCUUCCCUUUAAAUUGCCAGCCAUCCUGUUUGUUUUGGAAAAGUUGAUAUUGGAUCUUCCUACUUGAAGGAAAAAAAAAUGUGCAUGAAGCACAAUUAUGAGGAGACCAGCUCUUCUCACUGAGUCAUACCCCCAGUGUGUGACAUAUGAUAGAAGCAAAUUUAUAUGCUGCUGCUUGAUGAAAGUGAAACUUGAAGUGUCCUGUGGUUAUCUUUGGAUUCUGCUGCGUCCAGUCCUUUUGAGAAGUUUUUAUAAAGUACUGCACCACACUAUGGAGCUUAUUGCUAACAAUAGAAAUAGAAUUGUACUAAGACUUGUUCUCAUUAAUCUUGAAUUUCACUAGCAGGGCUUAUGACCCAUCAACCAUAUUUUGCAGCCCACCAAAUGUUCAGUAAAUUUAUUUUUCUUAAUCUACCUCAUGUUUAAAAAUAGAGGGUUGUGCCUGCUUGAUGCAAAAUGCCACCACUGAACCAUGUUUAGCUUGGUGGAUGAUAAGUCUGAUAUUAUACCUGAUGAAGUAGGUCUGAAGUAUUUUGAGGGAACACUAACACCUUCAUAAACUAGUUUGUCUCACUGUAUAACAAAGUCAUGACAAAGAGGGGUGCUGCAAGGUGUCGUCUAGUGCUCCCCACUCUUUAUGCAGGGAUAUGGGCACCCAGUGCAUGAAAUAACUCGCAAUCUGCAUUGCCAGUGCCUCAUCCUGCAUUUCAUCUAGAUGCCUAUUUUUGGCCAUUUAAAUGAAGCAGCAUGUGGGGGGUGGCCAGGAGGACACCGGGGCACUACCUGGAUAUGAUGAAAGAAACGGCAUUCCUCUUUUCUCUGUGGUCCAUUUGCAACCUUGAGGGGGCAUCCCACGUAGUUCUUUGUGCACAGCUGCAAAAGGAGCAGAGUAGCUUGACUUCCAAUAUCCAAACAUUGAGCUCACAGGAAGCUUGGAGCUGGGACUCUGAAUAAUUCUGUGGUACUCAGAUGGUUUGGGAGGGCAUAGGAUUGUACUCUCAGCAUUAAUUGAACAAAAUUGCUUGACGCGAGCAGAACUGAGUAUCAGAGAAGUUGUAAAAGUAUGUAUAUUUGCACCGUAAUCUUCAUAUGGACAAUAAAAUGCAUAAAAGCCUACAUUGUUGGUCUUGUUUAUUGGCAUGGACACAAUGUUGAAGGAUGAAUAAAUUUGGGGAAGAGUUUUGUAAAACUAGUCAACCCUAUGCAGUAUCUUUGCAGGCUCUGCUGUGGUGUUGCAGUGUGCUCUUAUUUGUAGUUUUCUGUGUUGACAUGUACAUGUGACUGACAAUAUUAACAAAACUGCCCUUACAACAAAACAGACAGACAACCUUUUUAUGCAAACGUCAUUUUAAUUGCUAAUAUUAUUUCCUUAUUCUUUGGCCAGGGUGACUUAUUUUAUAUUGUUAAUUCAUUUUAUAUUUUUAAUGUAUUAUAUUUUAAUGUUUUGUGAGCCACCCCGAGGCUUUGGCGAAUGGGGUGGCAUAGAAAUUUUCUAAAUAAAUAUGUAAAAUAAGAUGCCUAAGAAUCACAUAAAGCAAACAAUCACUAA